GGCGAACGCUGGCGGCGUGCUUAACACAUGCAAGUCGAACGGAAAGGCCCUGCUUUUGUGGGGUGCUCGAGUGGCGAACGGGUGAGUAACACGUGAGUAACCUGCCCUUGACUUUGGGAUAACUUCAGGAAACUGGGGCUAAUACCGGAUAGGAGCUCCUGCUGCAUGGUGGGGGUUGGAAAGUUUCGGCGGUUGGGGAUGGACUCGCGGCUUAUCAGCUUGUUGGUGGGGUAGUGGCUUACCAAGGCUUUGACGGGUAGCCGGCCUGAGAGGGUGACCGGCCACAUUGGGACUGAGAUACGGCCCAGACUCCUACGGGAGGCAGCAGUGGGGAAUAUUGCACAAUGGGCGGAAGCCGGAGGCAGCAACGCCGCGUGCGGGAUGACGGCCUUCGGGUGGUAAACCGCUUUCGCCUGUGACGAAGCGUGAGGGACGGUAAUGGGUAAAGAAGCACCGGCUAACUACGG
rnacentral:rRNA from 1 species